GUGGGGAAUAUUGGACAAUGGGCGAAAGCCUGAUCCAGCCAUGCCGCGUGUGUGAAGAAGGUCUUCGGAUUGUAAAGCACUUUAAGUUGGGAGGAAGGGCAGUAAGUUAAUACCUUGCUGUUUUGACGUUACCGACAGAAUAAGCACCGGCUAACUUCGUGCCAGCAGCCGCGGUAAUACGAAGGGUGCAAGCGUUAAUCGGAAUUACUGGGCGUAAAGCGAGCGUAGGUGGUUUUGUAAGUUGGAGGUGAAAUCCCCGGGCUAAACCUGGGAACUGCCUCCAAAACUGCAAGACUAGAGGACGGUAGAGAGUAGUGGAAUUUCCUGUGUAGCGGUGAAAUGCGUAGAUAUAGGAAGGAACACCAGUGGCGAAGGCGACCACCUGGACUGAUACUGACACUGAAGUGCGAAAGCGUGGGGAGCAAACAGGAUUAGAUACCCGAGUAGUCC
rnacentral:rRNA from 1 species